rnacentral:lncRNA from 1 species
AUGUGUGUGUGUGUGUGUGUGAGUGUGUGUGAGUGCGCUCUCGCUCUCGCUCUCGGCCCUGCCCCCCGCCCUCCCCUCCCGCCCCCGUUUCCUCCCGGGCUUGUGCAGUCUCGGGCCCAGACCGCGGAAAUGGGGUCCGGGGGGCGGGGCGGGGCGGGGGAGGGGCCCGGGGGGGAGGGGGGCGCCGCCGCCGUCGCCCCAGAUCGGGGGGUCCCCAAGCCCCCCCUCCCCCGCCCCCUCCCCCGCCCUGUGGCGCGGAGCGGGAGGGGGUCGGGGGUCGGGGGGGUCGGGGAGUUGGGGGGGGCUGGGGGGGGGUGGAGAUGGCGAGCCGGGUCCCCCCCUCCCCCGCCUUCAUUUCCUGGGUGGGGCCGGACACGUUUAAAACGUCCCGAGCCGGAACGGGGCCCGCAGCCCCGCAGCCAGGAGCCCCGGCCGCCCCGGACCCCCUGGGGACCCCCCGCCCCCGCCGCCGCCCCCUCCCCCCGCCCCGGCCCGCCGGGCGCCGCCGCGAGGGGCUUCGCCACCGAACCCCGCCACCGACGGCCGGCCAACCGUCACCCCGAGGACCCGCCGGCCCCGCCGGGCCCCCCGACCCCGCCGGCCCCGGGACCCGCCGAGCCGCGGCCCGACGCAGGCGGGACCGGGGAUCCGCGCCGCCGUCGACGCCCACGGCCCCCCGACCGGCCAUGCCGGGCCCGUGGGCGGCUGCCCCUGAGCCCCGGGGCCCGGCCGCCUCCGCCCGGCCGCUGUAGCCCCCCCUCCCGCCCGCCCGCCCGCCCGUCCGUCCGUCCGUCCGUCCGUCCGUCCAGCCCCCCCCCGUCCGCCCCCCGCCCGGCCCGGGCCAGAGCGCGCCCCUCUCCAUGCGCUUGCGGCGCCCCGGGGAGCUGGCCGGGGCAGCUGCUGCAGCAGCAGCGGCGGCGGCGGCCGGAGCACCGGCACCGGGACCGGGACCGGGACCCGGAGGAGGAAGGCCGGAAGGCCCGGGGCCCGCGGCCCGCCAGGACCCGCCGCCCGCCGCCCCCUCGCAAACUUUGGACUUGUGGGGGGGGCCGGGGGCUUGAUCUUUGGGGCGCCGCCGCGUCGGGAGGGGCGACCCGCCCCUGA